GUCGAGCGGUARAGAGAAGCUURCUUCUCUUGAGAGCGGSCGGACSGRGGUGAGUAAUGCCUAGGGAUCUGCCUGGUAGUGGGGGAUAACGUUUGGAAACGGACSGCUAAUACYGCAUACGUCCUWCGGGAGAAAARCAGGGGRCCUUCGGGCCUUGCGSUAUCAGAUGAGCCUAGGUCGGAUUAGSUAGUUGGKGAGGUAAUGGCUCACCAAGGCGRCGAUCCGUAACUGGUCUGAGAGGAUGAUCAGUCACWCUGGAACUGAGACACGGUCCAGAYUCYUACGGGAGGCAGCAGUGGGGAAUAUUGGACAAUGGGCGAAAGCCUGAUCCARCCAUGCCGCGUGUGUGAAGAAGGUCUUCGGAUUGUAAAGCACUUUAAGUUGGGAGGAAGGGCWGUUGMYUAAUACUYWGCWGUUUUGRCGUUACCGACAGAAUAAGCACCGGCUAACUCUGUGCCAGCAGCCGCGGUAAUACAGAGGGUGCAAGCGUUAAUCGGAAUUACUGGGCGUAAAGCGCGCGUAGGUGGUUWGUUAAGUUGGAUGUGAAAUCCCCGGGCUCAACCUGGGAACUGCAUUCAAAACUGACUGACUAGAGUAUGGUAGAGGGUGGUGGAAUUUCCUGUGUAGCGGUGAAAUGCGUAGAUAUAGGAAGGAACACCAGUGGCGAAGGSGRCCACCUGGACUAAUACUGACACUGAGGUCGAAAGCGUGGGGAGCAAACAGGAUUAGAURCCCUGGUAGUCCACKCCGUAARCGAAUCRRCUAGCCKUUGGGAGCCUUGARCUCUUAGUUGCGCAGCYAACGCCAUUAAAGUUGWUCCCCKC
rnacentral:rRNA from 1 species